rnacentral:rRNA from 1 species
CGGACAAAGGGAAGCGAGGCGGCGACGCGGAGCGAAUCCCAAAAAUCGCGCCCCAGUUCGGAUUGUAGUCUGCAACCCGACUACAUGAAGCCGGAAUCGCUAGUAAUCGCGGAUCAGAAUGCCGCGGUGAAUACGUUCCCGGGUCUUGUACACACCGCCCGUCACACCAUGGGAGUCGGGAAUGCCCGAAGUCAGUGACCCAACCUUAGGGAGGGAGCUGCCGAAGGCAGGCCUGGUGACUGGGGUGAAGUCGUAACAAGGUAUC